UGAGGAAUAUUGGGCAAUGCCCGAAAGGGUGACCCAGCAACGCCGCGUGGAGGAUGAAGGUCGUAAGAUUGUAAACUCCUGUUAGAGGGGAAGAAUACCUAAGUUUGGAGCUUAGUAUGACUGUACCCUCAGAGAAAGCCCCGGCUAACUACGUGCCCGCAGCCGCGGUAAUACGUAGGGGGCAAGCGUUGUCCGGCUUUACUGGGUGUAAAGGGCGCGCAGGCGGAAUGGAAAGUCAGUGGUGAAAUCCUACAGCUUAACUGUAGAACUGCCUUUGNAACUUGCAUUCGUGAGUUAGGGAGAGCGAGACGGAAUUCCAGGUGUAGUGGUGAAAUACGUAGAUAUCUGGAAGAACACCAGUGGCGAAGGCGGUCUCUUGGUCCGAUACUGACGCUGAGGCGCGAAAGCGUGGGGAGCAAACA
rnacentral:rRNA from 1 species